GAAGUGAAGCAAAGUGAAGUCGCUCAGUCGGACAUGACUGGACAACUAACACCUAACCUCCUAGAUAAGUAGCAUAAAUUACAUGGCCUAUACUACACAAUUUAUUAUAAGAUUGCUGAAAAAUAGAGAAUUCCAUUUGCUGUGAUUCUAGAGUUCUCAGAUUUAACCAGAAGAAAAAAUUUUAAUUGUGGUAAAAUAGACACAAAAUUUACUAUUUUAACCAUUUUUAAAUGCCAUUAGGUACAUUCACCAUUCAUCAUCAUCCAUUGCCAUCAAUCUUCAUUACCACCAUCCAUCUCCAAAGCUUUUUCAUCUUCCCAACUGAAACUUAAUACUGUAUACAUUAAACAAUAAUUCCCAUUAGCCUUUUCCCCAGGCCCUGGCAGCCACCAUUCUAUUCUAGAUAUCUCAUAUAAGUGGAAUCUACUUGUCUUUUCUUAUCUGCCUUACUGCACUCACUAUAACGUGUUCAAGGUUCAUCCAUUUUGUAACAUGUGUCCAAAUUUCAUUCCUUUUUAAGGCUGAAUGAUAUUCUAUUCUACGUAUAUAUCGCAUUUUGUUUAUUCAUUUACCUGUUGGUGGACAUUGAGUUGUUACUUGGCUGCUAUGAAAAGUGUUGCUAUGAACAUUGGUCUACAAUUAUCCAUUGGAGUUUCUUCUUUCAGUUCUUUUGGGUAUAUACCUAGAAACAGAAUUGCUGAUCCUAUGGAACAGAGAAAGUUUUGAAGCUCAGAUUUUUAUAGAGGCCAAGUAGAAAACAACUGGGCAGUGAAAGGAACACGUCCUAUGAGUGAUGGGGCCCAAGAAACAGCAGAGGAAGCGUGCCUCUUCUGGGGGCACCCACCUCUGUGUUUAACAAGAAGAUAGAAUCUGGAUUCUUCAGUGAAAUUGCUGACUCAAUUUUUUUAAUGCCCUGAGGAAAGCACAUCUGAUGGUCCAGUUCAGCCUGAAGACUGUUUAUUUGCAGUCCUCUGCUUUACAUUUGAAAUUCACCUUUCAUCAAAGGUGUGAUAUGCGCAUCUGGCCAGACAGAUGUGGUAGGAAUCCAGCUCCCCUACUUUCUAGCUGUUUGACUUUUAGGCAGGUUAGCUCAGAGGCUUGGUUGUUUGGUUUAAAAUGAGUACAAAUGUAUUUGCCUUAUUUGUGAAAUUUAAGUGAAAUUAUGUAUAUAAGCUGCCUAACUCAAAGUUUGCCCUCAUUCUCUCUCUUCUCCUUCCCUACUCACCCUCUUUCUUCCACUAUCUGUUUUUAUCUACCUGCAAAUUUAGGUUUGUAGUAUUUGCUUAUUUUCAUCUAAAUUUUUAUUUAUUCUGUAAAUUUGAUUACUCUCAACUUUUGCUUAUAGAUUUGUUGAUUAUUCAACACUGGAGAAGGAAACUAGGUUAAUUAUUGUAUCCCAAAUGGUUCUUUAAACAUAAGCUUUCCCCAGGAAUCUGAGUAGUUAAGAGAAAUGAAUGAGUUUUUCAAAAUCUCGAAAAAGUUAAACAAAAAGAAAAACCGCAGUAAAUUUGAUAUGACAAGGACUAUAACUUUUUUUCCCCCAUUCACAAUUAAAUUCUCAAAUCUGACUUGUUAUAAUUUCCUUAAACAUGUAAUGCUAAAAUACUCCUCUCCUUUAGGAAUGGAGUUUUUCCUUGCUCAAAGCAACCAUAUAAUGAUGGCCAGACAUAAUUCUGAGACAUGUGAUUGAUUAGAAACCAUUAAAAUCAGAUCAUCAGCACAUGCUCUGAGUUCCAAAACUUAGCAUUUCCAAACAAUUACUUAACGUGUUUUCUAAAGCAAGUAAUCUGCUACUUGACUGAGAUAUAGUCAUCACAUAGAAGAAUAUUUAAGUAUCUACUCCAGCAUUUGCCAAAGAGCAGCAUUCUUUUUUUCAGCUGUUUUUCUUUUUGCUCCUAGUGUGGUAAAGUUAAAUUCUGGGAAAUGGUUUACUAAAGGGAAGUUUAACCACAGAUGUUUGUAAUUCCAACUUAAGUUUCCCAUCAAAGUCUUAAUGAAAUUCAGCUGCCAGCAGUUCAGCUCUGAAUCUGAGUCUUUUUAUCCUGAGAAACUUGGGGAAAACAGCAUUCCGAAGAUGAAUGGUAGUGGGAAAAUGUCCAUAUUAAAGCCCAAAUCCUGUACAUAAAGGAAAAAAAAUACACGAAGAAACAAAUGUUCUUAAAAAAAACAACAAGAAACGAGUGGUCAGCUGUACUUGAGUAACAUGCAGUGUGGCCCUCUUUUCCCUUCCAGGAAUUUCCUAGUUUGUGUGUUGUGUUUUGCUGGAAGCUAGAGAUUCUAGUGUUUACCUAAAUGGAGUCAAGUAUCAACGUUUAUGACUCCAUGGGAACCAAUGAGUAGGAGAAAUCCCAUAACAUUAAAAGCUGCAUUAGCCCAAGUCUCUUGGAGACUAGAGCAGUGAUCCGUGCUGCAUUCUACAGCUAACAGGACUCUCGAGCAUAGUGCAGACUCUGUAUAUUAAUAUUUAUUUUGAAAUUAUGCCCUCCAUUACAUGGAGUGGCAUGGCUGCUUUAAAGGAAAUCGGGAUGUCUAGAGAUCAAAGAUGUCUUCACUUAAAUUCACCGAGGAUGUGACUGUUACAUGCUAUACUGUUGUCUAUUUACAAAGUGAACUACAGCAUGGCACCCUGCACUAAGCAGCUCUAAAAAGCCAAAUGUAGGAGCAAAGGAAUGCAUUAUAUAGACACCAGCAGAAGGCAAGACAAAUGUCUAGCAAACCCCUGUAUUGUGGGAUGCCAGGGCUGUAGAACUAUCUAGAACCACACAAGAGCCAGAGCAAAAUCAGGGUUUAAAAUCAUGGCUGGCUUCUUCUUCCAUAGCAGAAUUAUUCUAUAGUGCCUUUCAAGGUUCACAGUCACAGUGUGUAUGCUACCCUUUGAUAAACAGUGCUAUAAUUUGACAAGCUAAGUGUGCCCUAAGUGUAACCUCUCUUCCUGUCGGUAUGCUAUUAGUCCUGGGAACAGCAGAGCGGUUCUGUCACCUGUGAUUCUGUCAAUCCCCAGGUCACAGGUGAGGUGCCAAGUGCCUGUUAUUUGGAGGCUGAACUGAGUCUGAAUGCCUGGAGACCGGCCAGUGUUUCUUUGUGGUGCAUGAAUGAUUGCCUCAUUCUGUAUUGUUUCCUUGGAAUUAUUGUCUGUUGUGAUUAAUGCCAGCAGACACCUUGAAAUGCGACUUAAACCAGAGACAAGCCCUGAAGCCUCUACUGCAGCACAGAAUUCAGCAUAGAGGAGACCUGUUUGAAUGCCAGCCAGUGGGUGGUUAUCACUGGAUGUGUAACUCUAUUGGACCUUGCAGUGGGAACCAUAAAAUCAAAGGGAUCACAGGAUAUUAGAUCUGGAAGGGGAGUUUAGGGAUUCAAACUCUCUCAUUUUAUAGGUAAGAAAGUUGAAUCUUAGAGGGGUUGAGUUGCUUCACUUAAGGACGCAAAGCUCACAAGCAGCAGUGCCAGGAACCAUGUCUUCUGACUUCCAGCCUUAUUUUCUUUCAAAGUGUUUCAAGGGACUUAAUCAUCCUUAGCUUUAGAACUUUAGUGCUGUGCUUAGUCACCCAGUCAUGUCUGACUCUUUGCAACCCCAUGGACUAUAGCCAGCCAAGUUCCUCUGUGGGGAUUUUCCAGUCAAGAAUACUGGAGUGGGUUGCCAUGC